GCCAACGUGGCUCAAUGGUAGAGCAGCGCAUUCGUAAUGCGCAGGUUAGCGGUUCGACUCCGCUCGUUGGCUCCA
rnacentral:tRNA from 1 species